GAUGAACGCUAGCGGCAGGCCUAACACAUGCAAGUCGCGGGGCAGCACAGAAACAGCAAUGUUUUGGUGCCGACCGGCGGACGGGUGCGUAACGCGUAUGCAACCUACCUUUAACAGGGGGAUAACGGAGAGAACUUUCCACUAAUACACCAUAACACCGAUCACGGCAUCUUCAUUGGUUGAACACUCCGGUGGUUAACGAUGGGCAUGCGUUGUAUUAGGUAGUUGGUGAGGUAAUGGCUCACCAAGCCUACGAUACAUAGGGGGACUGAGAGGUUAGCCCCCCACACAGGUACUGAGCCACGGACCAGACUCCUACGGGAGGCAGCAGUGAGGAAUAUUGGUCAAUGGGGGCAACCCUGAACCAGCCAGGCCGCGUGCAGGAAGACGGCUCUAUGAGUUGUAAACUGCUUUUAAACAGGGAUAAAGCACAGUAUGUAUACUGUGUUCAAGGGACUGUAAGAGUAAGGAUCGGCUAACUCCGUGCCUGCCGCCGCGGUAA
rnacentral:rRNA from 1 species